UGUUCCUAUUUUUUUCCAUCUGUAGUGAUGUUUCCACUUAAAGCUCCUAAUUACUUUGGUUGUUCUGUUUCCCUGUAUUUUCCCAGCUUAAGAUGUGUGGGAGAGCGUUGUGGAGAUUUAUAACAGAUUCCUUGUGUCUUCAUUGGCAGGCCCAGCAUGGUGGAACUCCAAGAUAAAAGUCUGACAGCCUGAGACAGUCUGCGUCUCCUGUAGGAGAAUGAGUCAGACGGCUCGGUGAUGAAUGCCCCCACUUCUGCACAUUUCAAAAGUACAGUUUAUCCGGGAGGAAUGAAGCGGCUCGGGCACAAACCGAAGGAAAAUUGCCUUUUUCUUUGACCUGCAGCCAAGGGUGAGGAAGUGAAUAGGAAGCGAUACGAGAGUGUCUGCCCUCUGAGGUGAUGAAUACUGUGCAAAUUAGAAGAAGAGGCCUUUCAAUCUCGAGUGCUUUGGCUUUCCCCACUCACUGCUCUAAAUCAUUUUCUAUCUUUUGCUCCACAGCCCACUCCUGUUUCUUUCUCUCUGAGUUUCUCUCUCCCCUUCUUUUAUUUAUUUUUUUGUCAGUGGUUUUUUAUUUUUUAUCCUCCCUCUGUAUCUCCCGUUGUCUACAUGCUGCACGAGCACGUGGGUUGACAGGUUGAGCCCUGGGAGGUCGAGAGGGCGAGGGCAGAACUUGCAGGAUGUGGGACAGAAAGCUGAGACAGCACGGCCUUUGGCGAGAACGCAGCGUGCAGCAGGAAUCGCGAGGCCGUGCGGAGUCACAGAGAACCAUGACCUUGAUUCGUGAGGGGAGGGGGAAGAAGAAGAGAUAAAAAAGACUUAAACCCAUGGAGUCUUUGCGAGGCCUCGCAGAGUCUGGUGCACGCAGUGGCAUAUGGUGUCCGUCUCAAAGUGGAUCAGCCAGAGCUCAUCAUGAAUUAUUGUUAGAGAACAGCAUAUUGAAGAGAAACACCAAUAAAUGCAUAAUACAUUUCA